rnacentral:rRNA from 1 species
AUUGAACACUGGCGGCAGGCUUAACACAUGUAAGUCGAGCGGGGUGAUGGUGCUUGCACUAUCACUUAGCGGCGGACGGGUGAGUAAUGCUUAGGAAUCUGCCUAUUAGUGGGGGACAACAUCUCGAAAGGGAUGCUAAUACCGCAUACGUCCUACGGGAGAAAGCAGGGGAUCACUUGUGACCUUGCGCUAAUAGAUGAGCCUAAGUCGGAUUAGCUAGUUGGUGGGGUAAAGGCCUACCAAGGCGACGAUCUGUAGCGGGUCUGAGAGGAUGAUCCGCCACACUGGGACUGAGACACGGCCCAGACUCCGACGGGAGGCAGCAGUGGGGAAUAUUGGACAAUGGGGGGAACCCUGAUCCAGCCAUGCCGCGUGUGUGAAGAAGGCCUUAUGGUUGUAAAGCACUUUAAGCGAGGAGGAGGCUCUUUUGGUUAAUACCCAAGAUGAGUGGACGUUACUCGCAGAAUAAGCACCGGCUAACUCUGUGCCAGCAGCCGCCGUAA